GGGGCUCAUUGGUGAUUCAUAAUAACUUAACGAAUCGCAUGGCCUUGCGCCGGCGAUGGUUCAUUCAAAUUUCUGCCCUAUCAACUUUCGAUGGUAGGAUAGUGGCCUACCAUGGUAUCAACGGGUAACGGGGAAUUAGGGUUCGAUUCCGGAGAGGGAGCCUGAGAAACGGCUACCACAUCCAAGGAAGGCAGCAGGCGCGCAAAUUACCCAAUCCCAAUUCGGGGAGGUAGUGACAAUAAAUACUGAUACAGGGCUCUUUUGGGUCUUGUAAUUGGAAUGAGUACAAUUUAAAUCCCUUAACGAGGAACAAUUGGAGGGCAAGUCUGGUGCCAGCAGCCGCGGUAAUUCCAGCUCCAAUAGCGUAUAUUAAAGUUGUUGCAGUUAAAAAGCUCAUAGUUGAACCUUGGGCCUGGCUAGCCGGUCCGCCUCACCGCGUGUACUGGUCCGGCUGGGCCUUUCCUUCUGGGGAUCCGCAUGCCCUUCACUGGGUGUGUCGGGGAACCAGGACUUUUACUGUGAAAAAAUUAGAGUGUUCAAAGCAGGCCUUCGCUCGAAUACAUUAGCAUGGAAUAAUAGAAUAGGACGUUGCGGUUCUAUUUUGUUGGUUUCUAGGACCGCCGUAAUGAUUAAUAGGGAUAGUCGGGGGCAUCAGUAUUCAAUUGUCAGAGGUGAAAUUCUUGGAUUUAUUGAAGACUAACUACUGCGAACGCAUUUGCCAAGGAUGUUUUCAUUAAUCAGGAACGAAAGUUAGGGGAUCGAAGACGAUCAGAUACC
rnacentral:rRNA from 1 species